AUGUGCUUUGGGGUGCUAACUAUAGUUUUAAAAAAUAAGUUAUACUUAGAAAUACUUCCCAGUAUAUUUAAUAUGAGCUAAUUUGCAGUGUUACAGUACUUAGUUAUAUGCUUUAUUUGGGGGUGUUACUCAGUAUGUGGGUUAUGUGCUGGGUUUGGGGGUGUUACUCAGUAUGUGGGUUAUGUGCCGGGUUUGGGGGUGUUACUCAGUAUAUAGGUUAUGUGCUCGGUUUGGGGGUGUUACUCAGAAUGUGGGUUAUGUGCUCGGUUUGGGAGUGUUACUCAGUAUGUGGGUUAUGUGCUCGGUUUGGGGAUGUUACUCAGUAUGUGGGUUAUGUCCUUGGUUUGGGGGGUGUUACUCAGUAUGUGGGUUAUGUGCUCGGUUUGGGGAUGUUACUCAGUAUGUGAGUUAUGAGCUUGGUUUAGGGGUGUUAAUCAGUAUGUGGGUUAUGAGCUCGGUUUGGGGGUGUUACUCAGUAUGUGGGUUAUGUGCUGGGUUUGGGGGUGUUACUCAGUAUAUAGGUUAUGUGCUCGGUUUGGGGGUGUUACUCAGAAUGUGGGUUAUGUCCUUGGUUUGGGGGGUGUUACUCAGUAUGUGGGUUAUGUCCUUGGUUUGGGGGGUGUUACUCAGUAUGUGGGUUAUGAGUUUGGUUUAGGGGUGGCACAAGAGUUUUGUCACUUCCAUCACAUUUUGUCAUUUCCCACAGCCAUUGCUAGUGAAAGAGCUGUUGGCAUAGGGCAUUCUCCCACUCAUCAUUAGACAAUAUCUAUGGAGGCUUCCAUGGUCCUGUGGGAUCUUCCAUAGACAUUAGACUGACAUGAACUCAUGGCAGACGAAGGCCAGAAACUGAAGAUAAAACAUGUCAGUGCCCGCAGGGGACAGAAUCAGGUAAGUAUAAUUUACCAUUACAUCACCCCUGGGCCAUCACAACACAUAAACCGAUGCCAC